AAACCACUGUAGCUUUGUAUACAAAUUGAUACAAAAUUGAUGUGGUGAUGGUACACAUUCUGUCAGACAAACCCACUCAAGCACACAAAUAAUCACACGAUUGUGUUAGCUUUCUCCUGGGUGGCCACCUUUUAGAUGUCCAGAGUGGAGGGUGUGUUCUAUCGUAUUGGACAGAAUCUGGAGCGGUACAGGCUAGCUGGAACCAGUCGCUCACACCAUUGACGACCAUAAUGCCAACUCUAUAUAAGGAAUCAAAUCAAUGCAUCCAAUUAUAUGCGUUUAAUUACAAUGCUUCUAUAAUCGAGAUGAGCUUCUUCAUACCAAUGUGACACCUAUAGAGAGAGGCACACAACGUCGGCUAACACAGUUGACUUGUUGGAUGUACUGGUUCCCCCGAGGACCAUUCGUAUCACCACUCCUCGUCGGAGGUUCCACCUGGAAUUUAAGACGGAAAUAAAACGAGUCCAAACAAUAGUGGAGGGUGUGUUCUAUCGUAUUGGACAGAAUCUGGAGCGGUACAGGCUAGCUGGAACCAGUCGCUCACACCAUUGACGACCAUAAUGCCAACUCUAUAUAAGGAAUCAAAUCAAUGCAUCCAAUUAUAUGCGUUUAAUUACAGUGAGCUCAGUGUUUAACUGAUUACUGUUGUGUUUAACUGAUUUUGUCGUUAUUUCAAUACCAAUCCCAUGCACU